rnacentral:rRNA from 1 species
GACGAACGCUGGCGGCGUGCUUAACACAUGCAAGUCGAGCGGUAAGGCCCUUUCGGGGGUACACGAGCGGCGAACGGGUGAGUAACACGUGGGUGACCUGCCCUCAGCUCCGGGAUAAGCCUGGGAAACCGGGUCUAAUACCGGAUAUGACUCCAUGACGCAUGUUGUGGGGUGGAAAGCCUUGUGCGGCUGAGGAUGGGCCCGCGGCCUAUCAGCUUGUUGGUGGGGUGANGGCCUACCAAGGCGACGACGGGUAGCCGGCCUGAGAGGGCGACCGGCCACACUGGGACUGAGACACGGCCCAGACUCCUACGGGAGGCAGCAGUGGGGAAUCUUGCGCAAUGGGCGAAAGCCUGACGCAGCGACGCCGCGUGAGGGAUGACGGCCUCGGUU